AAUAGGUGCUAAAUGGGUAACAGGGAGGCUGCCGUGAGAAAUGCCACUUAUCAAAGCAUUAGCACUUGGCAAGGAAAAGCAGGGGGAAGAAAUGAGGGACCCAGUCCCAGCACUGUGACAGACACUAGAGGGGCUGAGAAGUGGCACAGCUGGCGCAGGGUGUUGGAGCCGGGCUGCACUGCAGCACGCCCUGACCUGGCUGACAGAGAGAGGAUGAGUUUAGCAAUACUGUUUACUAUACAGAACACAUUUUCCUCUGUGAUUUUGCUGCAAAUAUUUUGUCGUUUUCAAUUUCGAUUUGCGUUUGGAAUAACACGAGAAGCUCUUUUUCUAUGUUUUCUUUCUUAUUUUCUUUCCUUUUCUUUCUUUCUUUCUUUCUUUUUUUUUUUUUCUUUCUUUCUUUUUUUUUUUUUUUUUAAGGGAAUCACAAUUCUUACACAUGAAAAGACUCAUAGCCAUCUCCAGAGGACCGUGGAGGAUGGGGGUCAGCUCUCCUCCAGCCGGGAUGACGACCCUGCCCCUAUUUCUGCCUGGGGAAGGGCAAGAACAAGCAUCUGCCUGGAAGUUUAA
rnacentral:lncRNA from 1 species